ensembl:lncRNA novel transcript
GAAAAACCACUUGCUCAGCUUCUCCUUGUAAAUUCCUGGUGAGUGCCUCCAGGCCUACUGCUGUGCUGUUUCUUUUUCUUCUUCCUGCUGCGCUGAACCCCUGCCCUUUCAUUCUUGGGCCUGUGCUAAUUUCUGUGCAUUCCCAACUGUGAUUUUUCACCAAUUUGGGGGAACCUCCUCUGCCAGGUCCUGCUUCAUGCCAGCAGCGCUUGCAGGAGCCUGGGCUGGCUGGCAUCCCUGGGCUGAUGGGUGCUCCUCUCCCUGCAGGCUGGCCACUCAGUAUUCCUUGUCCCUGGCCUCGCAGCCCACCCGGGAAGCCACAGUGACCAGCCACCAGGUGUGCCAUCACGGAGGAAGUCCAGGUUGGAGAGGUGGUCUCCUUCUGUGAGCAGGUCCACCUCUCCCCCCACUGAGGCCCCUUUCUGCCUGUGACAGCCCCACCUCAAGGGCCAUGGCACAGCCAUCAGCUCCAGCUGCCAGCAUGCUACUGCCAUGCCCCGAGUGUCCAUCUGGGCCCCGGUUCAUGACCUGUUGUCUUUCUGUAUCUACUUUCUGCAGCCCCUCACUGAGGAGGCCUCCUGGGUUUGUCCAGUGCCUGCUAUUAAAGCUUUGCUCCAAGUUCAA